ACCAUGUUUGUUAUGCAGCCUGCAGAACCAGAAAUCAUGGGAAAAACUGCCCAUUUCUGUUUUGUCCACUUUGCUUUGGGAAGUGAGAGCUAUAGUCAUUAUCACCACAUCCCCUGGCAUCCAAUUCCACAUUCUACCUCAGAAGUUAUUUGGAGGAAUCCAAGGACUUAGAUAUUUUACCAAUGUCUCUGGUGAUUUUUAUAUCGGUGGCCCAUGGGUGUUGACCUAUGAAACUGCUCUGCAGCAGAUAUUGAGAAAUAGGAGUUCAGUAAAAAUUAGAGAAUGAGAUCAGAAUAUGGAUACAUUGCAAGAGGUGGAGCCCUGGAACAAAAGUAAGAGCUGAGGACUAUCCUGAUCAAAUAUGCAUACUUCAAAGAUUGCUUCAAUGGACCGAAUGGAAGGAAGAGGUUGCUGAUACCAUGGAAAUCAGUUAAAAGGCUCAUGAAAGAAUGCAAACAAAAAGUUUUUUCAACUGAAUUUGUCCUGCUCUACACCUCUUCCUCCACCCCUCCAAAAUAAAACAAGAUAAUACUGCCAAA
rnacentral:lncRNA from 1 species